CCCUGUAUUAAAGGAAAAUUUUUCAUCAGUGACAAAAAUUUCACCAACUAAAAAGGAGCCAACAUAGUAAACCCAUUUACUGCAUGACACACUAGCCACCAAAGAGGAAAGCACAGGGAAAGACUGUUAAGGGCAAACACUUCCCUGCAAGUUUUUGUAGCCACGUUUGGCAGCCAUUUGUAAGUGAAGAAGAGCUGGUACAGUAAUGAAUAUUGGAAAAAGGAGGGUAGUAUCAUCUUUCUCAUUUGUUUCAAGUGCUGUUUCAUAACAUACUUCUGUUCUAGUGUGCCAGUGACCUUUUUUAAGGACAUAUUUUUUAAUGUAAUUGAUCCUAGGUUAACUUUAUGAAAGCAUAUAUCAGUAAAGAAACAAGGUAUAUAGAUUUGGAGGGAGGAGGGGUGUUUAACCCUUCCAGUACUCUCAAGAAGGCCUGCUUUAGCUGCUAAGCUUUACUGCAUAGGUAUAUUGGCUUCAUCAGUGAAUGAAAUUAGUUCUAUCACUGUUAUAAAAUUCUAACUUUCAUAUUAAGCUCUUCGCCUCAUCUAAAAGGUCUGCAAGGUAAAAGGGGUCCUGACCACUCCCUUCUUCCCCUCUUUUUGGCCAAGAGAACAUUCCCUCAGUGAAGACACUAUGAAGAACAUACAAGGCUCUAUUGUAAGGACCUGCCUCCAAGCCCUACUGAGGAAGCCAAGCCAUGCUGACUUUGCCACUAAAAUAGGGAGGCCUUCACUGCUGAAAGAGUUAUUUCAGCUAAUUCAGAGAGACCAGUGUGCUUCAAGCUUAUCACUUUCACUGAGAAUGAAGACAGCUACAAAAUAAUUAUAGACCUGGUAGCUCACAAUGUAUUGACCCAGGAAGAUAGUCUCAUGUGGUAAGUGAUACAAAAUUUAAACACACUUGUAAGCAUCAAGGAAGUAUGCAGGGGCCAUCAAAAUUAAUUACGUUUGAGUGUAAAUUGUGGAAAAGCGAAAUCUCCUCAGGGAAGGAUUUGGGAAAGUGCAAAAUUCUUCAGGGAACCAUUGAAAUCUGCAUUGCAAUAGCUUGUUUCCUUAAGUUUCCUUAGG
rnacentral:lncRNA from 1 species